rnacentral:lncRNA from 1 species
CCCUGCCUCUUAUAGAGGACCUCACGCAACCAUUUUAGUGUUUAAUUUACGAUCCUCAAUAUGAUUAAUCAUUAUGUAUGGAAUGUGUUGUAGAUCAAGUUAUGGAGAGGGGGAAAUCGCAUCUGGAGCAAAACCAAGUGCAAACAUGGCAGCAGUGGAUCAUCUUGACAGUGCAGGAGACAGGGACAGAGGUCUUCAGGAAGUUCAUGGGAAGGAUCACAGCAACCAGAGCACCUACCGUCUGUCGGGGAUGGUCUCUCACCUCGGGGAGAGCAUCAACACCGGCCACUACGUCAGUGACGUAGCUCGAGAGGACGGCGCCGGAUGGUUGACCCUCAACGACGCCCGUGUGACGCCCGCGGAGACGCCGGUCCUGAGGACCAGAGAGAAGACCGCCUACAUGUUGUUUUACGUCCUAAGUGGAGCAGAAGAGGGAAGCCAUGUCCCACUGGCUCAGAACCAGGAGCCAUCUGGAGCUGAGAGGGACUGACACCUGUGAGGCCCAGGAGAGCGCUUGAUUGGUGGCAGAGUUCCCGUUGUCCGCGGAAACACUGAUUGGUGGUGCCUCUACAGCCCGCUCUGGGGGCCACACCCUGCAGCCCCCCUCUACAGCUGAGGCCCACCUUUAAACGCCCCCCUAGGGGCCACACCCUGAAGCCCCCCUCUACAUCCCCCCCUAGGGGCCACACCCUGAAGCCCCCCUCUACAUCCCCCCUAGGGGCCACACCCUGAAGCCCCCCUCUACAUCCCCCCUAGGGGCCACACCCUGAUGCCCCCCUCUAGGGGACCUGAGGCCCCUCUCUACACCCCCCUCUGGGGGCCACACCCUGCGUCCCCCUUCUACAGCCCCCUCUAGGGGCUAACCAACCCCCUCUACACCCCCCUCUCGGGGCCCUGCGGCCCACCUCUUUGGACUUUAAGGCUGAUCAUAAUGAGGAUCACUUUAUUUUUAUUUUGUAUCAUAAUAAUGAGGAGCAUAUUCAUAUUAUGUAUAAUAAUAAUGCUGAGG